rnacentral:lncRNA from 1 species
CACCUUCGAAUCCCAUCGUCUCUCAAAUCCUCUCGAAUCUUCAUGGAACCCUAAUCGUCUUCCACCUUAUUUCACCGCGUUUCCACCAGAAUCCAUGGCGUCUCAGGCCACGGAUGGUCUGUACUCACCCUUCCUCACCAUUAGAUCUAAGCUAUUCAAUGCUGUGAAAUCUGACUUCGAUGGUUCUCUCCAAGGCUUUCUCAGAUCUGUAGAUCUAUGGCUUCACCAGCCAUUACUCCGGCGUAUUCGAGCAAUAUGAGUCUUUUCGACUCAGAUAUGACUUUCCUCAGGAUCUUUCUCAUUUCGAGGGUUUUUCUCUGCAACCCUAAGCUUCUCGAGAUUCUUUACUUGCUUAUUUUCUUAGUGCUGGAAUACGUCUAAAUUCUAUUGAACGUUUAAAAGGUUUUCCGUAAAUUUUCUUUUCAAAAACGUUUAAUUUCUAUUUUAGGGUUUCUGAAAGGUUUUUCAAAAGCAUAUUUCUGACUCUGUUGUUCUUUCUUUAUGUGUGUUUUUCUGACUUCUUUUACUAUGCAUGUACUGUUCUUCUAUUUUCUUUUUCUACUCUAUAUGUUAUUCCUGUACUCAGAUGUUAAUCCAUGUUGUUUUCCUUAUUCUUUGCUAUACGUGUGUAUGGUUGAGUUCUUUGAUUGUGUUUACUUUACUGAACUCUGUUUGUGUUCUUAUUAAGCAUAUUUCAUCAACUUUUGUUUAAGCCUGUAUCAUCUCUUUCUUCUGAACUUGUGUAAAUUUUGAGUUUUUCUCGAACAUGUUCUCACGACCUUGAAUUAGUUUUCUUUCUAUCAACAUGUUUGUUUCUUAUAAGUCUUUGGAAGGAGUUCUGAGCCUCUCUCAAAUGGCUUGCUUUCUCACCUCCAUGUCUGGUUCUAUUUGAAACCCUGUGAUUUGGGGGUUUCUUGUCAAUUUUGAUUUCUUGUGUACGAGUUAGGGUUCCACUUUGGUACCCUGGACUCUCAGACUCAUUUUGAGUAAGCAAACUUGACUUAUACCAAUUUUGCUUAUGAUUCUGGACCUUUCUUUGAUUAAAUUCUCUUCUAAAUAACUUGACAAUCCCUUCUUGAUUCACUUAUUUGUGUACUUUAUAUAUGAGAAAUUCCUCUUUCAAAAGGUUUUCAUCAACUAAUUGAUUGAUUUUGAAAUCCUUUUAAUAAGACGGACAGAUUGUCACUGAUUUUCUUAGAUUGAACAUCCUUUACCUUUCUUGACUUGGUUCACUCUAAUUGAAUUUGUAAUUUUGAUUUUACUGGCUGUUUGAUUGAUUCCCUUGCCAUAUUUAGCGCAAACCGUGUAUCAUUGAUUGUUUUCCUUAAACAACUUCCAUGUAUUUACCCUUCUUAUGCUACUUUGAAAAGGUUUUAACUAAAACUCCUUUCCUUAACUUGCUUUUACCCGUUGAAAUCAGAAUCCCUUAACCAAAGGGAGAUUGAUUUCGAUGUUAUUUCCUUGCCUUUCCAACUUGUUUUCUGCACUAUAAAAUGGGACUUUCCUUCUGCACUUUUAAGCCACGACCUUCAGUUCAUCAAUCCUUAACUCCCAAUUCAAUACUACACACUUGCAAUACUGCUUUGAAUCAAUACUCUUUCAAUACUGUGCUUGAAAUCUUUAUGAACUACUUUGCUUGCAACUUGGCCUUUUCGAGAUUACUGCUUCUACUUGUUUUCCCCUGAGAUGGGUAUGUUCUGAUUCAAUUUUCUGCCUCACCCUUAUGUGUUUACCUUACAAUUUUAACAUCCUUGUUUGUAUUGCUGUUCAUGUUCAGUGAUUAAACUAUGUAUGUACUUUCCUUGCAUCUGCUUCUAUUGUAAAUCCCUACCCUCAUUCCCUUUAUGUGUUUGAGUUAAUGUUCUUGGCCUGGUAGUAUCCAAAUUACUGCCCAAGUCAGAACCUAAUCCUCAUUGGAUCUUAACUCGUCAUAUUUGGCUAACAUGCUGGUCAGGGGUGUGCCAGCACUCUUAAUUACUGGGCAUGACCACCGGCCUGCCAUGGCUUUCCCUAAUUCCCUCUAUGCACUUACAAUUACUCUUGCAUUCAUAAGUUCUGCCCCCCCCCCCCUCCAGAGCCUUAAUUUCGGACCUUGAGUUACCUUUGAACUUGGAUAUCUGAGGGGUGACCCUUCCACACUACACCAUGAUCUAAUUCUGCAGUGCAUUUAGGGUGUAAGCUUUACCCGGAGCCCUUUGAAACUCUUGUGAAAUUUGGCACAUCCCAAAUAUAAGAAAGGCUUUUGAAAAUCUAAUCUUGGAAGUUAAUUUAUCUCAUAUUGUUGGACUUUGAGUCUGAAUUAGGUUGUUUGGUUGUAGUUUGAGGUUUCUGAUGUAAUUUUUUUUUCUUUUCUUGCUUCAUUCGGGUCUGUAAUAAUUAGUAAUAACUAUUGGGGAUGGCUAGUGGAAAGGGAUGGAAAUGAAUGCAUGCAAAGGGUAAAUAACUUGUCUAUAGGAUUUUUGAUUCCUGCAUCCAUAUAAACAUCAUGCAUAUAGGUUACUUAUAAAUUUCUGCAUUCAUGUAGAUAACUUGCCUAUAGGAUUUUCUUAUUCUUGCAUUCAUAUAGACAACAUGCAUAUAGGUUACUUAUGAAUUUCUGCACUCCUUCAUUCUCAUCUCAGAAAUUAUGCCUAUAAGUCUUUUUUGCAUUUUUGCAUAUAGAAAUCCUGUCUCUAAGUCUCUGU